rnacentral:tRNA from 1 species
GAGGCAAAGCAUCUUAUUGAUUGUAUUGGAUAAAUAGCUGACGCCUAAUCAGCGGGUCCCAGGUUCGAGCCCUGGUGCGUCACCA